rnacentral:lncRNA from 1 species
GUAUAUAUAUAUAGAGAGAGAGAGAGAGAGAGAGAGAGAGAGAGAGAGAGAGAGAGAGAGAGAGAGAGAGAGAGUCCAACUUGUAUGCUAUUAUUAGCAUGGAUGCUUUCAUACUAGCUACUAGGUUGUUUUCAAUAAUGAGAUAUUCGAAUCGAUGAUCAACUCCGUUAAAAAUAAUCUACGUUAUUAGAAUUAUUUAGGAAACAAAUUAUAUAUUUUUUCAACAUCAUUAGACUAGUGAUCAAAAUGUCUCAAAAUUGACACUUUGAAUAGCUGAUGUAAUACAUUUAUAAGUUUAAUAGUGUGAAAAAAUCUAUAUCCAGUAAAAUUUUGAUAGAAUUUUUUUUUACUAUUUAGAACAAGCUCGGUAUCUCUGAUUAGAAAUUUAAGUUUUUUAUUCUUAUUUUUUAUAAGAUUUUUAUUUUCAACCAUUUAGUUUGAGACCAUUCAUUUUAAAGAUAAAUAAUUUUAAAAAAUCAUAAAAAUUGACUUAUAAGUAUUUAUAAUAAUAUAGAUCAUGUCUAAUAGAGUUGUUUCAAAUGCGAUAUCAUAAAAAACAACUUCAUAGCACCGAAUCCUCCAUACUUUUAAUAGUAUUCUAGUCUAAUUCUAAAAAUAUAUAUAUAUAUAUAGAGAGAGAGAGAGAGAGAGAGAGAGAGAGAGAGAGAGAGAGAGUAGAUUUGUAUCCUAUCAACUCCGUUAUGAAAUUUGGUUUUUAAACAGUUUCAAUAGCGUAGAUUAUGUAUAUAAGGAGUUUGAUCGUCAAAUCAGAUGUUCAAUCAUAAAAAAUAACUUGAAAAUACAAAGACCUUCAUACUUAAUUUCAAAAUUAUAUAUACAAGCCGCACUCUCUCUCCAUCUCUCCUAUGAUUAAUUAAUAUAAUUAUACAACACGAACACAACUCACAAACCCGAAUUACCACUCUAUAUAUCAUGACCAU